AUACGGAGGGUGCAAGCGUUAUUCGGAAUCACUGGGCGUAAAGGACGCGUAGGCGGGUUGGCAAGUCAGAUGUGAAAUCCUACAGCUUAACUGUAGAACUGCAUUUGAAACUGCUAACCUAGAGUAUGGGAGGGGGAGAUGGAAUUAGUGGUGUAGGGGUAAAAUCCGUAGAUAUCACUAGGAAUACCAAAAGCGAAGGCGAUCUCCUGGAACAUAACUGACGCUAAGGCGUGAAAGCGUGGGGAGCAAACAGGAUUAGAAACCCUAGUAGUCC
rnacentral:rRNA from 1 species